CGAAGUUGAAAGGAGUAAUCCGUCUAAAGGUGAGCCCGCGUCCGAUUAGCUAGUUGGUAGAGUAAAAGCCUACCAAGGCGACGAUCGGUAGCUGGUCUGAGAGGAUGAUCAGCCACAAUGGGACUGAGACACGGCCCAUACUCCUACGGGAGGCAGCAGUGGGAAUUUUACGCAAUGGGCGAAAGCCUGACGUAGCGACACCGCGUGAGCGAAGUAGCCCCUUGGGGUGUAAAGCUCUGUCAGCUGGAACGAAAAGAAUGACGGUACCAGCAGAGGAAGCAUCGGCUAACUACGUG
rnacentral:rRNA from 1 species